GGAAAGGCUGCAGCUCAGUGGUACAGCAUCUGUUUUGCAUGCAGAAGGCCCCAGGUUCAAUUUCCUAGUCUCUCCA